rnacentral:rRNA from 1 species
UCCAAUCGAACUCGGAGAUAGCUGGUUCUCCCCGAAAUAGCUUUAGGGCUAGCGUCGGAUAUGUGUAGUGGAGGUAGAGCACUGAAUGGGCUAGGGGGCAUAUCGCUUACCGAACCUUAUCAAACUCCGAAUGCCAUAUACAUUUAGUCCGGCAGUCAGACUACGAAUGAUAAGAUCCGUGGUCAAAAGGGAAACAGCCCAGAUCGUCAGCUAAGGUCCCAAAGUGUAAGUUAAGUGGAAAAGGAUGUGGGAUUUCUAAGACAACUAGGAUGUUGGCUUAGAAGCAGCCACUCAUUUAAAGAGUGCGUAAUAGCUCACUAGUCGAGAGAUCCUGCGCCGAAAAUGUCCGGGGCUCAAACUUACCACCGAAGCUACGGGCUUGCGUAAGCAAGCGGUAGGGGAGCGUCGUAAUCGGGCUGAAGUCGUACCGUAAGGAGCGGUGGACUGAUUACGAGUGAGAAUGUUGGCAUUAGUAGCGAGAUGUAGGUGAGAAUCCUACAGGCCGAAUAUCUAAGGUUUCCUCAGGAAGGCUCGUCCGCUGAGGGUUAGUCGGGACCUAAGCCGAGGCCGAAAGGCGUAGGCGAUGGACAAUCGGUUGAUAUUCCGAUACCACUACCAUCGUUAUUAUCGAGGGUGUGACGGAGAAGGAUAGUGUGUGCUAGCGAUUGGAAAUGCUAGUCUAAGCGUUUAGGGAGUUACGGUAGGCAAAUCCGCUGUAACAAUUCUGAGGCGUGAUGGGGAAGGCCAUAUAGGCCGAAGUACAUGAUUCCAUGCUUCCAAGAAAAGCAUCUAGAGAGAGAAGUAGUGCCCGUACCGCAAACCGACACAGGUAGAUGAGGAGAGAAUCCUAAGGCCGGCGGAAGAAUUGCAGUUAAGGAACUAGGCAAAUUGACCCCGUAAGUUCGCGAGAAGGGGUGCCUGCGAGAGCAGGCCGCAGAGAAUAGGCCCAAGCAACUGUUUAGCAAAAACACAGGUCUCUGCUAAAGCGUAAGCUGAUGUAUAGGGGCUGACGCCUGCCCGGUGCUGGAAGGUUAAGGGGAACACUUAGCGCAAGCGAAGGUGUGAACUUAAGCCCCAGUAAACGGCGGCCGUAACUAUAACGGUCCUAAGGUAGCGAAAUUCCUUGUCAGGUAAGUUCUGACCCGCACGAAUGGCGUAAUGACUUGGGCACUGUCUCAACUGCAAAUCCGGCGAAGUUGUAGUGCGAGUGAAGAUGCUCGCUACCCGCGAUUGGACGGAAAGACCCCGUAGAGCUUUACUGUAGCUUAGCAUUGAAUUCCGGUAUUGUCUGUACAGGAUAGGUGGGAGACUGGGAAACUAGGGCGUCAGCCUUAGUGGAGUCAACCUUGGGAUACCACCCUGACAGUACUGGGGUUCUAACAGGACGCCAUGAAUCUGGUGACUGGACAUUGUUAGGUGGGCAGUUUGACUGGGGCGGUCGCCUCCUAAAAAGUAACGGAGGCGCCCAAAGGUUCCCUCAGAACGGUCGGAAAUCGUUCGUAGAGUGCAAAGGCAGAAGGGAGCCUGACUGCGAGACAUACAAGUCGAGCAGGGACGAAAGUCGGGCUUAGUGAUCCGGUGGUACCUCGUGGGAGGGCCAUCGCUCAACGGAUAAAAGCUACCUCGGGGAUAACAGGCUGAUCUCCCCCAAGAGUCCACAUCGACGGGGAGGUUUGGCACCUCGAUGUCGGCUCGUCGCAUCCUGGGGCUGGAGCAGGUCCCAAGGGUUCGGCUGUUCGCCGAUUAAAGCGGCACGCGAGCUGGGUUCAGAACGUCGUGAGACAGUUUGGUCUCUAUCCUCUGCGCUCGUUGGAAUCCUGAGGAGGCCUGCCCAUAGUACGAGAGGACCUGGGUGGACGAACCUCUGGUAUGCCGGUUGUCGCGCCAGCGGCACGGCUGGUUGGCCACGUUCGGGAGGGAUAACCGCUGAAAGCAUCUAAGCGGGAAGCCCGCUCCAAGAUAAGGAUUCCUGACACCCCCCCCGGGGGUGUGUGAGACCCCAUAGAGAACAUGUGGUUGAUAGACCGGACGUGGAAGCCCCGCGAGGGGUGGAGCCGACCGGCACUAACGGUCGAAGACAACCAA